GACGAACGCUGGCGGCGUGCUUAACACAUGCAAGUCGAACGGAAAGGCCCCUUUGGGGGUACUCGAGUGGCGAACGGGUGCGUAACACGUGAGUAACCUGCCCUUGCCUUCGGGAUAACUUCAGGUAACUGGGGCUAAUACCGGUUAGGAAUCCUUGCUGCAUGGUGGGGGUUGGAAAGCUUCGGCGGUUUUGGAUGGACUCGCGGCUUAUCAGCUUGUUGGUGGGGUAGUGGCUUACCAAGGCGUUGACGGGUAGCCGGCCUGAGAGGGCGACCGGCCAUAUUGGGACUGAGGUACGGCCCAGACUCCUACGGGAGGCAGCAGGGGGGAAUAUUGCACAAUGGGCGGAAGCCUGAUGCAGCAACGCCGCGGGCGGGAUGACGGCCUUCGGGUUGUAAACCGCUUUCAGCAGGGGCGAAGCUUGUGGUGACGGUACCUGCAGAAGAAGCACCGGCUAACUACGUG
rnacentral:rRNA from 1 species